AUGCGUACAAGUUACCGGUUCUAUUGGAUGGAUCUCUGAUAUGUCUGACGUGAGUGGCAAAAGUAUUUCCGUAUAAAGGACGAGAAAUGAAAAGGAAGAAGAGGGAAUGGGAUGAUAAAAUGGUAAAAGGUUAUAUAGGAGGAGAAAAGGGCGAGCAAAAUGGAUUGCAUGUAAUCGUAAAUCGGCAUACAAAAUGGAAACAAACCUACCUACCUACCUAUCUACCUCCUCGACGAAGGAUUACCGGUUGAUAUUGAAUUCUCGACAAAAAUUCUCACGCGCGACGAGCUGUUUUGGAGAAUGGAAAAAAACAAA